rnacentral:rRNA from 1 species
UACAGAGGGGGCAAGCGUUGUUCGGAAUUACUGGGCGUAAAGGGCGCGUAGGCGGCGUGACAAGUCACUUGUGAAAUCUCUGGGCUUAACCCAGAACGGCCAAGUGAAACUGUUGUGCUAGAGUGCAGAAGGGGCAAUCGGAAUUCUCGGUGUAGCGGUGAAAUGCGUAGAUAUCGAGAGGAACACCAGAGGUGAAGACGGGUUGCUGGGCUGACACUGACGCUGAGGCGCGAAAGCCAGGGGAGCAAACGGG